rnacentral:rRNA from 1 species
UACAGAGGGUGCGAGCGUUGUCCGGAAUCACUGGGCGUAAAGGGCGCGUAGGCGGCUUGAUAAGCGUGCGGUGAAAGCCCGGGGCUCAACCCCGGGUCGCCGUGCGAACUGUCGAGCUGGAGCACUGUAGAGGCAGGUGGAAUCCGGGUGUAGCGUGGAAUGCGUAGAUAUCUGGAGGAACACCGGUGGUGUAAACGGCUUUCUGGACCAUUACUGACGCUGAUGCACGAAAGCGUGGGUAGCAAACAGG